rnacentral:lncRNA from 1 species
GCGGGAAGCUAGAAUCACAUAACCCACAAGAGUGGACCCUCCCGCUGGGGAAGGGCGGGGAGGACCGGGAACCCACGAGAGUGGACCCUCCUGCUGGGGAAGUUCAGGGAGGACCAGGAACCCACAAGAGUGGACCCUCCCUCUGGGGAAGUUCAGGGAGGACUGGGAACCCACAAGAGUGGACCCUCCCGCUGCGGAAGGGCAGGGAGGACCAGAGGACUCGGGGAUGAUGAAGACGUUCCAGCUCCUGACGCUGGCGAGACUCACGCUGCUGACACCUGUCACAGUGCACGGGCUCACACUUAACUUUUGUGUGUUUCACGUUGUUUUCAUAUUCUGGUGUAAGUUUGUUUUAUUUCUCUAGAAAGAAGCAAGGGCUGUGAAUGGUGAUUAAACGUUCCUUCUCAGGUUUGCCUGUGCGUGGGGUAGAGGUGGACCACGCAGACCCUCCCUGCUGUGAGCUCCGUGGAGGGUCAAUGCAGAUGCAGGGAGACUGUGGGGCCCGGUAUCCGCGACGCUGGACAAGGGGGUUCCCGCUCUGGAAGGAGGAGUCAAGGUCUCCAGUGGUGUCGGAUUAGAAUAUGAGGAAUCCGUCUGAGCUCAUUCUCCACAGGAUCCCACGAGGGAAAGCCUGGCUUUUCCCUGUGCAGAUGCCAGGCCUCUACAGGUUCCAGAAGGUUCCUCUGCUCCUCUGAGAGGGCAGGGCACUUGCACAGGGAACAGGCAGCCGAAGGCAGCCACAGCCCUACUGGAACCAGGGUUUCUCUGCCUCCUGGGAAGAGGUCAGUGGAUGGGUUGGGGAGGGGGACAGGCGGCCUUCCUGUGGGAGUCGAAGAGCCUGGGGCCUCCCCUCCUUGGAGGCGACCAGACACCUUCCCUAACUGGAGGAAAUUCUGAACCCCAGACCUGGAAAGUUCAAAGCUGAAAUAAAAUCGCCCCUUGUUUUGCG